GGGAGGCAGCAGGCGCGAAAACUUUACAAUGCGGGAAACCGUGAUAAGGGAAUCUCGAGUGCCAGCAUAUAAUGUUGGCUGUCCAAAUGCCUAAAAAGCAUUUGUUAGCAAGGGCCGGGCAAGACCGGUGCCAGCCGCCGCGGUAACACCGGCGGCCCGAGUGGUAACCGUUUUUAUUGGGUCUAAAGGGUCUGUAGCCGGCCAUGUAAGUCCCUUGGGAAAUCUGGCAGCUCAACUGUCAGGCUGCCAGGGGAUACUGCUUGGCUUGGGACCGGGAGAGGUGAGAGGUACUUUGAGGGUAGGGGUGAAAUCUUGUGAUCCUCGGGGGACCACCAGUGGCGAAGGCGUCUCACCAGAACGGGUCCGACGGUAAGGGACGAAAGCUAGGGGCACGAACCGGAUUAGAUACCCCAGUAGUCC
rnacentral:rRNA from 1 species